rnacentral:rRNA from 1 species
UACGAAGGGGGCUAGCGUUGUUCGGAAUUACUGGGCGUAAAGGGCGCGUAGGCGGUGUGUCAAGUCAGGCGUGAAAGCCCCGGGCUCAACCUGGGAACCGCGCUUGAGACUGGCACGCUCGAGUUCGGGAGAGGAUGGUGGAAUUCCCAGUGUAGAGGUGAAAUUCGUAGAUAUUCGGAAGAACACCAGUGGCGAAGGCGGCUUACGGGCCCAUUACUGACGCUGAGGCUCGAAAGCGUGGGGAGCAAACAGG